rnacentral:lncRNA from 1 species
GUGGGAUAGCUCAAGAGAACACAGAAAAUACAGAAAACAUCCAUCUGAGCGACUUUUGUUCAGCGAGUCUCUGCUUUUAAGGAUGGCCCAUAUAAAGAGGUUUGCUGGAAUUCCCAUGUCUAAGUGUAUGAGAGAAAUGUGCAGAGAGGAGGACUACAUGUUCCUACAGGACCCGAGAGACCAGGGCAAGACUCCUGAGGGCACCACGCUUCAGGACACUGAGUGGCAGCAAAAGCGGGAGGAAAGGAUUCGGCGGAGGGUGGAGAGAGAGCAGCAAGAGCAGGAAAGGCAGCGGCAGCUGGAGGAGCAGCAGAGGGUAAAAAUGCUCAUGAUGCAUUAAUCUCAAGGUGGCAAUUCAAGUCAACUAUUAUCUGUAAUAUUCUGCUAUAUAUAUUAUGCACUCACUGUGACCUAAAAAAUACAGCUUUCUUUGAUUUCCUUGAUUUUGCUAUUUAUAGACCUCAAAUAAUGCAAAGAACAUAAGUUCACAUUCCAAAAAGUUUUAAGAGUUGAGAAAUCAAUAUUUGGUGGAAUAACCCUUGUUUUUAAUCGCAGUUUUCAUGCAUCUUGGCAUGUUCUCCUCCAUCAGUCUUACACACUGCUUUUGGAUAACUUUAUGCCUUUACUCCUGGUUCAAAAAAUUCAAGCAGUUCGGCUUGGUAUAAUGGCUUGUAAUCAUCCAUCUUCCUCUUGAUUAUUUUCCGGAGGUUUUCAAUUUGGUGAAAUCAAAGAAACUCAUCAUUUUUAAGUGAUUUCUUUUUUUUACAGUGAUGUAUAUUGGUCU